GGUACAGGCCUAAAAAAGCAAAAAAAAAGUAAGCUCUGAGGUCUCUGGACCACCAACUGGGUACAGGGGUGAGGGCUGUCCAGUCGAAUCCGUUGGCUGCGGGAAACGUGAAGCCGAAGACUACACAGAUCUUCUGCCAAGAUGGUAAGUGUGUGACAAGAGAGGCACCCCCAUUUGCCGGCUGUGGCGGAGGGAUGGGGGAAGGGACCCGGUCCUCUCGGAAGGGAUCUGACAGCACAAGUCGAGAGACACUGUGAUGGUCGAACCUUUGAACUGGCCUUUCCCCUUCAGGGAACCUGACUAAACAAAACCAUCUGAACACACAAACGCACAUGCGCGCGCGUGCACACACACACACACACACACAAUGGCCUAUGCAAAACCCCUGCACUGAAUAUUAUAUGUUCCUAUGUAAAAUGGUGAUGAUAAGAAGAGUGCCAAGAUGAGAGGAGAUAUUUGGUUAGAACUUUACAUGAAAAGCCAAGUAUUCACAUUUUUUUGAAAUGCAAUCACAACUUAAUUUGUAACCCAUUCAUAGACUGGAAUACUCCACAACCAUAAGAACAGACGAUCUAAAACUGGAUGCAAUGUCUAGAUACUACAUCGCCACACAACAGUGGGAGGAAAAAGUAUGUAUAACUUGGUCCCCAUGCUGUACAGCAGAAAAAAUAAAUAAAAAUAAAAUAAAAACGGGAUGCAGAGUUCUCCUAUGGUGCAACGGGCUAAGGAUCUGGUGGUGUCACUGCAGCAGGUCAGGUCGUGGCUAUGGCAUGGGUUUGAUCCCUAGCCUGGGAACUUCCAUAUGCCACCAAAAAUGUAGAAAUAAAUAAAUAAAUAAAAAUGGAUGCAAUGUUAGCAUAAACCUCAUAAGCAAAAUGUUGAAAGAAAGAAGCCAGACACACAGGAGUGCCCACUGUUAGGAGUCCAAUCAGAGAUGGUGAUUCCGUUUAUAUAAAACCAAAGACAAACUCAUCUUUGUGGUUCAAAGUCCAAAAGUGGGGAGCCUCUGUGGGGUCUGGGGGGCCAUGACUGAAUGAAGGCAGAAGGGGGCUUGAGAGUCAUGUUUUCCGUCCUGAUCCACAUACCGACUGCCUGGAUGUGCUCAGCUUGUGCACCUUGAGCCAGCAGCAAGAGUAUGUCAUGCCCACUUUCCCGUGUGUGUGUUUUACUUCCAUGGAAUUUUAAGACCACAGUCACGAUUCCACAAAAACAAGAAGCUGCCUCUGGGAGUGAGGAAAAAGUAAAUCACAGCAUUAAUGGCAAUUGUCUUAUGUUUCUGCAUCUCUGUGUUAUCUGAAUAAUUCAAUAAUAAGCAUGUGUCAGGGAGGGGGAGUAACAUGUAUUGAAACAAAACACCCAGCAGGGUCGCAGGAACGUGUGUGUGUGUGUCUGUGUAUGUGUCUGUGUGGUUUACCAAGAGAAGCUAUGCCGGGUGAGAGGAAGCAAAGGCUGCAGCAACUAACCACAGAGAAACGGAGUUUGAAGUCUGGCGGGAAUCAGUUAAAGAAGCACUACAGAUCCAUCACAGUCCAAAGGAGGAAAGCACACACACCGAAAGACUAGGGGUCGCUAGUGUGGGUGAUGCAUCCUUUUCCCUCGUAUUACUUUUUUAGGCAAUGGCAACUAUGCAUGGUGUGUACCUGAGUUAGUCUUCUGAAAAUGCGGUUAACGUAAACGUGUGUAACUGCAAGGACUGAUGCGCACACACUGAGAGGGAGAAGCAUACUUAAGUAAUUUUUCCUUGCUCAUAUAAUUACUUUAAUACUGUAUAUUUACAAAUAUACCUGUAAGACUACAGGGUAAAAUAUUCUCCUUCCAAAAAACAACAGAUCCACUUCUCAUGCCAACAUUUCUCUAAUUUCCCAGUGACGCUAGGUACUCAUCAACAAUCUUAAAGAAAGGUAGCUCAUCUAGGGAAAUCUCACUUUUGCCUCACGUUUACUGUUUUCUUACAUAGGAAAACUUGCUUUUUAUAUAGCACACAGAAGAAAAUGAGACAACAUUUGAGACCAAAAAAUAGAGAAAUAGAUUAGGGUGUAGGAAGCAUAGAGGUAGGGAGGGCUGGAUGGAUGGAUGAAUGGGUAGGUGGGUGGAUGGGUAGAUGGUGGAUGGAUAGAUGGAUGGGUGAGUGGAGAGCAGGCUGGUUAUCUGGCUAGGAGGAUUGGUGGGUGGGUGGGUAUGAAGGACAAAAGGAUAAAACUAAAAUAACCGGCCCAGAAAUCCUCAAGACAUCUGAAUGAAAGACAAAGUCUCUCCCUCCAACAGAUGCUCGCAAGAAUUCCAUCCCAUGUACGGAUCACCUCCCGGAGGGUCCCCAGCUGACCACGGAAGUCAAAGGAACUUGUCAGGAGAAACUGAGAUGACUCACAAAAUAAUUAAUUACGUUAACAGGGGAGGUGGCCACUGUGGUUGUGGUCAGGGAUGGGCAGCAGCGGGAAUAAGUAUUUCAGGAGUCUUAGCUUUAUGUCCAGCACUUUUUUCAAAGUGCUUUCCGUUCUUCAUGUGGUAAAGAGGAGUGGCGGCUGCAGAUGGAAUCAGGAUUACUAGUCUGCUGACCUGAAGAUGCCCACGGACCUUCCCAUCAGAGUGCUCACCGGGCCUUGACACGGGAAAAGGAAGCACAAGAGAGAAGCAGAGAGGUGGCAAUUUGAGGAUUCGGCCCAGUGCCACCGGCUGGCAGGUGGACAAAGGGGCCACAUACCAAGGAAUGCGGAGAACAGGCUCCGUGAACCGGAAAAGACGAGGAGCUGGGUUCUGCCCUGGAGCCUCCGCACCUUGACUUUAGCCCAGAGAGACCUGUGUUGGACUUCUCACCUCCAGAACUAGGAGGUGAUAAAUCUGUGUUGUUUUAAGUCGUUAAGUUUGAGAUAAUUUAUUAUGGUGGCCAUAGAAAGCUAAUACCCAGCCCCGGGUACUUUUUUAAAAAUAACCUUUAUUACUUAAGUAAGAUGCGAGCACAGACCCUUUUAAAACAUCUGAGCAUCAUGAAGAAGACUAAAGGGGCCCCGGCUCUCAGCCCUGGCCCUUUUCCCCACGGCCCGCUCCUACGCAAGUCGUAGCAAUGAUACCUGUGAGUGCCAUGAGCCACGUGUGCACGUCCUAAGUCUCCUGGCCUUCAUUUCUUUCCACGUUCUUUCAGUGGCGCCACUCAUGAAACAGUAGGAACAUCAUCUCACCAGGAAGGAACACAGCUCACCAAG
rnacentral:lncRNA from 1 species